CUUAGCUUGGACGCAUACGCACACCCGAGCCAAUUCGGUAAGUUUCAGAAGUAUGCCGGAAGGAUCCGACAAUCUGCCCGACACUUGACAAAUGGCUUUUGGAACACUUGUCUGACCGGCACGGAUGCAUGCCCACAGACGUCCACUGCUGGACAUAGACGUCCCUCCAGCCUCGCCACAAAGAUCGGUCCUGCGCUGUUUGCAUCCAGCGGAUCCCCGUGAACCUCAAUAGGUUGUCAGUUCAUCUUAUGGGAGGCCUACCCACGCUACGUCUUCCGGUACGCGGUCGUCACUCAAGAACUUUCUUGACUUCAACGUCGCAAUUCUUUGGGCUAUGUCGGUUACCAAGGUUUUCCUGCGGAUCUCCUUAUUUCUGUUUUGAUCACGCAGGGAAACUCCGAGCAUAACCCUCUUCAUUGCUUAUACUUUUGUUUGCGUCAGUAAAAUUUUUUCUGACUUCGCGUAAGUAUUGCCAAUAAAUAAAAUAUUAUCAGAAAAUAAAUUACUUUUUCGAUUUAA